ACAGGUGCUGCAUGGCUGUCGUCAGCUCGUGUCGUGAGAUGUUGGGUUAAGUCCCGCAACGAGCGCAACCCUUGUCAUUAGUUGCUACGAAAGGGCACUCUAAUGAGACUGCCGGUGACAAACCGGAGGAAGGUGGGGAUGACGUCAAGUCCUCAUGGCCCUUAUGGGUAGGGCUACACACGUCAUACAAUGGCCGGUACAAAGGGCAGCCAACCCGCGAGGGGGAGCCAAUCCCGUAAAGCCGGUUGUAGUCCGGAUCGCAGUCUGCAACUCGACUGCGUGAAGUCGGAAUCGCUAGUAAUCGUGGAUCAGCAUGUCACGGUGAAUACGUUCCCGGGUCUU
rnacentral:rRNA from 1 species